rnacentral:tRNA from 1 species
AAGAACGAUAGCGUAUCGGCAAGCGCCACGCUGUUUAAGACAACGCGGUCGGUCAAUGCCGGCGAAGCAAGAUCGUUACCUUUUCGCACCUU